rnacentral:rRNA from 1 species
GAUGAACGCUAGCGGCAGGCUUAAUACAUGCAAGUCGAGGGGCAGCGCAGUGUGGCAAUACAUGGGCGGCGACCGGCAAACGGGUGCGGAACACGUACAGAACCUUCCUUUAAGCGGGGAAUAGCCCAGAGAAAUUUGGAUUAAUACCCCAUAGUAUAUUGAGUAGGCAUCUAUUUGAUAUUAAAGAUUUAUCACUUAAA